rnacentral:tRNA from 1 species
CUAAGAGAAAGGUAAAAAUUAAAGAAAGCUAAUGCUUUCUUUAAUAAAACCGUAUAAAUUGUUUUAAUCUUUAAUAUACGGUAAGUCUUGAAGUACACAAGACGCUCCCUUACUCUUUUCCCCAAUGCCUGUUCUUUUCCUCUUCCUCUUUUUUAUUUAAAUCUGAGGGGAUAUAGCUCAGCUGGCUAGAGCGGCGGCUUUGCAAGCCGUAGGUCAGGGGUUCAAAUCCCCUUAUCUCCAAAGCCUUGAAAAAGGUUUUAAGUUUAAGUGUAAAUUUAAACUAUUGAUAUUUGAAAUAGAUAGGGAAGGGAACGAAAAAAUGAAAGUAAGGCGGUUUAUAUCGGAGUGUAAACGUAAAAUCGGUUAAUUAAAUUGACUGUGAGGUUUAUGUAAAGAUAUAAGCUGUUAAGAAAUAAGUUCAUUCUUUGAAAAUGAGAAAGAAGGGACGAUAAUAU